AAUUGACGGGCCCCGCACAAGCAGCGGAGCGUGUGGUUUAAUUCGAUGUUACACGAAGAACCUUACCUGGGUUUGACAUGCUAGUGGUAAUGAAGCGAAAGCUAAGUGACCCGCAAGGGAGCUAGCACAGGUGCUGCAUGGCUGCCGUCAGCUCGUGUCGUGAGAUGUUCGGUUAAGUCCGCUAACGAGCGCAACCCUCGCUGUGUGUUACAAGUGUCACACAGGACCGCCGGUCUUAAGCCGGAGGAAGGUGGGGAUGACGUCAAGUCAGCAUGGCCUUUAUGUCCAGGGCUACACACACGCUACAAUGGUCAGCACAAUAGGUAGCCAAGCCGCGAGGUGGAGCCAAUCCUCAAAGCUGGCCUCAGUUCAGAUCGCAGGCUGCAACCCGCCUGCGUGAAGCCGGAGUUGCUAGUAACCGCAGGUCAGCUAUACUGCGGUGAAUACGUUCCCGGGGCUU
rnacentral:rRNA from 1 species